rnacentral:rRNA from 1 species
AUUGAACGCUGGCGGCAGGCCUAACACAUGCAAGUCGAGCGGUAGCACAGAGAGCUUGCUCUCGGGUGACGAGCGGCGGACGGGUGAGUAAUGUCUGGGAAACUGCCUGAUGGAGGGGGAUAACUACUGGAAACGGUAGCUAAUACCGCAUAACGUCGCAAGACCAAAGUGGGGGACCUUCGGGCCUCAUGCCAUCAGAUGUGCCCAGAUGGGAUUAGCUAGUAGGUGAGGUAACGGCUCACCUAGGCGACGAUCCCUAGCUGGUCUGAGAGGAUGACCAGCCACACUGGAACUGAGACACGGUCCAGACUCCUACGGGAGGCAGCAGUGGGGAAUAUUGCACAAUGGGCGCAAGCCUGAUGCAGCCAUGCCGCGUGUAUGAAGAAGGCCUUCGGGUUGUAAAGUACUUUCAGCGAGGAGGAAGGCAUUAAGGUUAAUAACCUUGGUGAUUGACGUUACUCGCAGAAGAAGCACCGGCUAACUCCGUGCCAGCAGCCGCGGUAAGAC